rnacentral:rRNA from 1 species
GAUUGCAACCACGCAAAAUUGAAGAAGGAUAAGGCAUCAAAUGCAUCGAGAUCCCAUCUGAUCUCAGAAGCUAAGCAGGGUCAGGCCUGGUUAGUACUUGGGUGAGAGACUACUUAGGAAGACCAGGUGCUGUAGGCA